UACGUAGGUGGCAAGCGUUGUCCGGAUUUACUGGGCGUAAAGAGCGCGCAGGCGGUCGUGCAAGUCGCGUGUGAAAGCCCCCGGCUCAACUGGGGAGGGUCACGCGAUACUGCUCGACUCGAAGGCAGGAGAGGGAAGUGGAAUUCCCGGUGUAGUGGUGAAAUGCGUAGAUAUCGGGAGGAACACCAGUGGCGAAGGCGACUACCUGGCCUGUUUCUUGACGCUGAGGCGCGAAAGCUAGGGGAGCAAACGGG
rnacentral:rRNA from 1 species